UACGGAGGGUGCAAGCGUUUAUCCCGGAUUCACUGGGUUUAAAGGGUGCGUAGGUGGGCAGGUAAGUCCGUGGUGAAAUCUCUGAGCUUAACUCAGAAACUGCCGUGGAUACUAUUUGUCUUGAAUAUUGUGGAGGUGAGCGGAAUAUGUCAUGUAGCGGUGAAAUGCUUAGAUAUGACAUAGAACACCAAUUGCGAAGGCAGCUCACUACACAAUUAUUGACGCUGAGGCACGAAAGCGUGGGGAUCAAACAGG
rnacentral:rRNA from 1 species